rnacentral:rRNA from 1 species
GACGAACGCUGGCGGCGUGCUUAACACAUGCAAGUCGAACGAUGAAGCUAGAGCUUGCUCUGGUGAAUUAGUGGCGAACGGGUGAGUAACACGUGAGUAACCUGCCCCGAACUCUGGGAUAACUGCUGGAAACGGUAGCUAAUACUGGAUACGACCUACGAAGGCAUCUUCUGUAGGUGGAAAGAAUCUCGGUUCGGGAUGGACUCGCGGCCUAUCAGCUUGUUGGUGAGGUAAUGGCUCACCAAGGCGACGACGGGUAGCCGGCCUGAGAGGGUGACCGGCCACACUGGGACUGAGACACGGCCCAGACUCCUACGGGAGGCAGCAGUGGGGAAUAUUGCACAAUGGGCGCAAGCCUGAUGCAGCAACGCCGCGUGAGGGAUGACGGCCUUCGGGUUGUAAACCUCUUUUGGUAGGGAAGAAGCGAAAGUGACGGUACCUGCAGAAAAAGCACCGGCUAACUACGUGCCAGCCGCCGCGUAA